AGAGUUUGAUCCUGGCUCAGAACGAACGCUGGCGGCGUGCCUAACACAUGCAAGUCGAACGGGGAUAAGUAGCUUGCUAUUUAUUCUAGUGGCGCACGGGUGAGUAACGCGUAGAUAAUCUGCCUUAGACUCUGGGAUAACAUCUCGAAAGGGGUGCUAAUACCGGAUAAGCCCACGGGGACGUGAGUUCUUGCGGGAAAAGGGGGCCUCUGCAUAUGCUCUUGAUCUAAGAUGAGUCUGCGUACCAUUAGCUUGUUGGUAGGGUAAUGGCCUACCAAGGCGACGAUGGUUAGCUGGUCUGAGAGGAUGAUCAGCCACACUGGGACUGAGACACGGCCCAGACUCCUACGGGAGGCAGCAGUGGGGAAUUUUGCGCAAUGGGGGAAACCCUGACGCAGCAACGCCGCGUGAGUGAUGAAGGCUUUCGGGUCGUAAAG
rnacentral:rRNA from 1 species